UAAAGUUUUCUUUAUUGGGGUUGCGGACAUAUCAUAACGAAGAGGUAUCGUAAUUGAAGAGGUUUGGAAAGACCCACCACAGAAGGUAAUAGUCCUGUAUGUUAAACGAGAAGACUUCAGAUAUGAUCCAGAGUACCACGGGACACGUGAAACCCUGUGGGAAGCAGGAGGGACCACCCUCCAAGGCUAAAUACUACCUAGUGACCGAUAGCGUAUAGUACCGUGAGGGAAAGGUGAAAAGAACCCCGGGAGGGGAGUGAAAUAGAACCUGAAACCCUGCACUUACAAGCUGUGGAAGCACAUUUCUUGUGUGACCGCGUACUUUUUGUAGAACGGGCCAACGAGUUACGUUAAGUAGCAAGGUUAAGCACUUAAGGUGCGGAGCCGUAGCGAAAGCGAGUUUUAACUGAGCGUUCAGUUACUUGACGUAGACCCGAAACCGGGCGACCUACCCAUGAGCAGGAUGAAGCGAAAGUAAAAUUUCGUGGAGGUCCGAACCCACGAGCGUUGAAAAGCUCGGGGAUGACUUGUGGGUAGCGGUGAAAUUCCAAUCGAGCCCGGAGAUAGCUGGUUCUCCCCGAAAUAGCUUUAGGGCUAGCCUCAAGGUGAGAGAUACGGAGGUAGAGCACUGAAUGUCCUAGGGGGUAUUGCACCUACCGAAGACUAUCAAACUCCGAAUGCCGUCAUCUUAUACUUGGGAGUCAGACUGUGGGUGAUAAGAUUCAUAGUCGAAAGGGCAACAGCCCAGAUCGUCAGCUAAGGUCCCUAAAUGUAAGUUAAGUGGUAAAGGAUGUGGGAUUGCACAGACAACCAGGAUGUUGGCUUAGAAGCAGCCACUCAUUCAAAGAGUGCGUAAUAGCUCACUGGUCGAGUGAUCCUGCGCCGAAGAUUUCCGGGGCUAAAACUUACUACCGAAGCUACGGCAUCAGUAAUGAUGGGUAGGGGAGCUUCCCAUACGGGUUGAAGCAUGACCGUAAGGACAUGUGGACAGUAUGGGAGUGAGAAUGUUGGCAUGAGUAGCGAGAUGUGGGUGAGAAUCCCACAGGCCGUAAACCCAAGGUUUCCAGGGGAAGGUUCGUCCGCCCUGGGUUAGUCGGGACCUAAGCUGAGGCCGAAAGGCGUAGGUGAUGGACAACAGGUUGAUAUUCCUGUACUACCGAUAACCGUUUGAGAGAAGGGAUGACACAGUAGGAUAAGCUAAGCACACUGUUGGUUAUGUGUGCCCAAGCAUUGAGGCAGUCAAAGUAGGCAAAUCCGCUUUGAUAAUGCUGGGAUGUGAUGGGGAGCGAAAUUUAGUAGCGAAGUAGCUGAUUUCACACUGUCAAGAAAAGUCUCUAUCGAGGUUAAAGGUACCCGUACCGCAAACCGACACAGGUGGGUGAGGAGAGUAUCCUAAGGCCAGCGAGAGAACUGUUGUUAAGGAACUCGGCAAAAUGACCCCGUAACUUAGGGAUAAGGGGUGCCACCAUCAGGUGGCCGCAGAGAAUAGGCCCAAGCGACUGUUUACCAAAAACAUAGGUUUCUGCUAAGUCGCAAGACGAUGUAUAGGAGCUGACGCCUGCCCGGUGCUGGAAGGUUAAGGGGAUCUGUUAGAGCAAUCGAAGCAGUGAACUUAAGCCCCAGUAAACGGCGGCCGUAACUAUAACGGUCCUAAGGUAGCGAAAUUCCUUGUCGGGUAAGUUCCGACCCGCACGAAAGGCGUAACGAUUUGGGCACUGUCUCAACAACAGACUCGGUGAAAUUGUAAUUCCGGUGAAGAUGCCGGAUACCUGCGACAGGACGGAAAGACCCCAUGGAGCUUUACUGUAGCUUGACAUUGGGUCUUGGUACUACAUGUACAGGAUAGGUGGGAGGCUUUGAAACCAGGACGCCAGUUUUGGCGGAGCCAUCCUUGGGAUACCACCCUUGUAGUACUGGGACUCUAACCAUAGGCCAUGAAUCUGGUCUUGGGACACUGUCAGGUGGGCAGUUUGACUGGGGCGGUCGCCUCCCAAAAGGUAACGGAGGCGCUCAAAGGUUCUCUCAGUACGGUCGGAAAUCGUACGUAGAGUGUAAAGGCAAAAGAGAGCUUGAUUGCAAGACAUACAGGUCGAGCAAGGAUGAAAAUCGGACUUAGUGAUCCGGUGGUUCUGCGUGGAAGGGCCAUCGCUCAACGGAUAAAAGCUACCCUGGGGAUAACAGGCUUAUCUCCCCCAAGAGUCCACAUCGACGGGGAGGUUUGGCACCUCGAUGUCGGCUCAUCACAUCCUGGGGCUGUAGUAGGUCCCAAGGGUUGGGCUGUUCGCCCAUUAAAGUGGUACGCGAGCUGGGUUCAGAACGUCGUGAGACAGUUCGGUCCCUAUCCGUCGCAGGCGUAGGAAAUUUGAGAAGACCUGUCCUUAGUACGAGAGGACCGGGAUGGACGUACCUCUGGUGUACCAGUUGUCCUGCCAAGGGCAUGGCUGGGUAGCUAUGUACGGAAUGGAUAAGCGCUGAAAGCAUCUAAGCGCGAAGCCAACUUCAAGAUAAGAUUUCCCACCGCAAGGGUAAGACCCCAGAAAGACUAUCUGGUUGAUAGGUCGAAGGUGUAAGUGCAGCAAUGUAUUUAGCUUAUCGAUACUAAUAGGUCGAGGACUUGACCAA
rnacentral:rRNA from 1 species